UCGCUCCUGUCUAUCGCCGUGUAGUUUGCGGUGCUUGCUCAGCGCGCACAUCGGCGGCAGCAGCUCGUCUAGCGUGCACGCCUGAUUCGCGCAGGAAAGGCGGCGAGAGGCAGACGUGUGAAGGGGUGUAAGGAGUCGCUUACCGGCGUCCCGUCCUCCUCGCUCACGCUCGCGCUCUUCCCUCGCCACCUCACCAUAGCACUGUCCGCCGCACCGUAUCAUGCGAGUCACGUCCAACACCGUAGCCCACAUCACAAACGCGCGCCAAGGACGGCUUCUCCAUCCCUCGUUCUCUCUUUGGCAUGCUUCGCAGCCGCUGCUGCCGUGGCACGUGUCCCGCUUAGCUGAUUUCUCACGUCGUUCUCGAGCAGGCGCAUACAGACAGGCCCAUGGCAGAGGAAACGCAGCAUGACCUGCCCACGCUUGUGAGCUCGCUGCAGGCCGCCACGGUGGAGUGGAGCUUGCCAGCGCAGCGGCUGACCAACUCGAGCAUGGCAGGUAGCAGCAGCAGCAGCAGCGGUGGCAGUGGCGGUAUCGCCGGCGUACAAGUGGGGAGACGGUAUCUCCGCUACGCACAAGUGCUGCAAGACAUCGAUCAGCUUUUCGCCGACGUACGCGUGCGCUCCAGCGCUGCGCUGGUGGCAUGGUGCGCCUCAUUGCAGCAGAGCAGCGUCUCGAGCCGCUUCGGUGCACUCAUCGUCGACCACAUCUUGCAGGGCAUGCUCCCGUACGUGGCGCUGCAGCGGUGUCUGCGUUUACUGGACACCUUCCUCGGCUGGGUAACUCGACCCAACGCUGGCAGCGCGGAACUUGGCAUCGGCGCUGCCAGUCCGAGCUGCCCUGUGCUGGUGCCAAGCCAUUUCGUGGUGGAGUGGAUCGAGUUGGCGUGGGCAACAGUGACGACCCUGUCUCGCGACAACGAUGGCACCUCGUCCCCCACGUCCACUGCAAGCCUCUGUGGGGCAUUGCAGCUCCUACCCAUCCUCUUGCGCUGGAACCUGGCGGGAUCGCCGCUGCCGCCGUUCCGCCGCGCGCAGCUGCCGCACCCAGCAAACAUGCUGUCGUUGGAAGCACGUCUCCUGGCCCUGCAGGUGCUGCCGCCGCUGCUGCAGCACCAACCAGGUGCGUUGGGCACCCAAGUCUGCACUUACGAGAUGAUCGAAUAUAUAAAACGCGCGUGCACCAGGGCAACGGAGCCGAGUGUGCGGAUCGCGGUCGGAACAUCGCUCCGCGGUCUGCUGGAGGCGGGCCUGCGCGUGACCUCGCCGACGGUGGCGUACGCGCUAAUAGACAUGCUGCUCACCCUCUGCGACGAGGCGUCCCUCCACAGCGUCGCCGACGAGGAGCUGCACGACGUCGGGGUGGCCAUGGGCUACCUCCUCGCCUUCUAUCAAUGCGACUUCACGAUGGACGUGCUGGCGGACAUCCUGCAGGCGUCGACCGCAUCCACAUCGAAGCCUGCGGGGGAAGAACGCAGUGGGUACCGCUGCGUUGGCGGGGGCGGCAGCGGCCGUGUGCGGUGGCAGUUCUUUGGCGGCUCAGACGCUGUUGAGGGGAGUCGCGUUGUGCAGCGCAGCUUUAACGAGCGCAUGAGUCGCGCCGCCCAGCGCGCCCUUGCCACGGCGCUAGCAACGCUCUGCAGCUGCUGCGCCACACCUGCCACCACCGCAGAUGCCAUCCACUGCUGCUUCGUCUUGCUGAUUCCUUUGGCCGACGACGCGCGGGCGUACAUGCCGCGGCUUCUCGCAGAUGCCAUGCUGGAGUGGGCCACGCAGCUCCCCUCGAAUGGGUACCGGGUGGUGCUGGCAGACGCGCUGCGUGGCUACAUUCAGCGGUCUGGCGAGAACAAGGCAGUGGCGCGCACCGCUAUGGUGGCGCUGCAGGGCGUCAUGCUCACCCUCACAUCGUCGCUGCAGAUCGGCUUCAACAUAGCAGAGGACGUGCUGGCGGCGGUGCAGGCGACGCCGAGUCUUCUGCACGCCGGCGUGGAGGUGCUGGGGGCGGUGGCGCGCACGAACUUGCUGUACGCACGGCACCUGCAGCACCAGUGCGCGCAGGUCGACAGCGCAGACGUGGCGAACACGCUUGCCUUCCAACUUCAGGUGCGGGCCUUGCUAAACACCGCGUCCGUGCUUCGAGCAGGACCCGCGUCACACGAGGACACACUUGGCGAGGAGGACCGCGUCUCCUUGGUGCACGUCUGCAUUCGGCUUCUGCUGCGCCUUAGCCGCGGCGACCCGCCUCGCACCGUGCAGAACGUUCACUACCGGCAAGCUGAGCUGAUCUUCCGUCUUACCCAGCUUCUCUACGACCUCCUGCGUGGCAGCGCAGAAGCGGUGCUGGGGGCCAUUCGUGAUGAAGUGCUGCCCUGCACAGUGGGGUUUAUGAACCUCCUCGUCGGCAGCCCCGCGCCAACGAUCGCCUACUACAAGGCUGUUGCAGCGGCGUGCGCGAUGCUACGGCGAGCUCCAGUCAUCAGUGAUAUGGAGCGCAUGCUGGCGGUAGGCUUUCUGGAGGCCCAUCUUGCCUCGCAGUCCAACGGCGCGGAGCAAGACGCCAGUGCGGCUACCUCGUCGGCAGCGACAGCGUACUUCGCCAUCAGCCGCGGCUCUCUUUUCGAGCUUAUCUCCAGCAAGCCGUGGCCCACGUGCAAAGAUGACGGCAGCCUCCGCUGGCUCGCCGCGCAGGCGCUGAAAGACGUCGCCACCGCGUGCGCGCAGGGCGUUCCGGUGCUCAGCUUCGCUGACGCCUGCGACGCAACAGUCGCGUCGGCCGCACAGUCGAUGCGGCUGCUGCGUGCGGAUCUGCUGCCUAACUCCGCGUCCGAGGCGUCCUUUGGCGCAAGCUCCGCGGCUGCAGAGACCCCGACUCACACAGUGGAGGAGUGCGGCGGUCACGCGGUGCGGCUGCUGCGCUGGACGCUGCGCCACUUUCAGCAGCGAGCCGGUGCCGAUGGUGUCUGCGUCGCACUCCUUACCUCGCUGCGCACCGAGCUGUUCGAGGUGUACUGCACGCCCGUGGGCGUCGGUGCCGCAGAGAGCGCCGAGGACGAGGCGCGGCGGGUGGUGCAGCGGGAUGUGGCGCUGUGGAACUGCUUGUGCAUUGUGGAACAGUUCCUGCAGGAGGCAUCGCCUCGCACGGCGGCAGCGCUGUGGCAGAAUGCAGAUUGGGACGCGGAGGUGAGACGGUGGCAGUCACUGGCGGCCCAACUUGUUCCUGCCGUCGCCCGCGCGAGUGUGGAGGUGCGCCUGCUCGCUGCCAAGGUGCUGGGACGCUGCUUGGUCUUCACGGACCAGGUGGGCCUGUACACCAGCCAGGCCAUGAGCGCCGCGGCGCAGGGGUUCGUGGGUAAGUCGGUCCAGUAUGACGCUCUCAGUGCGCUCAUGGUACUCAGCGAGGCACACAGCUGCUACAAGGAGUGUAGAGCAGCCGCAGCUGUUGUGACGAGCACAGACAACGAUAGCAGCCCGACCCUUCCGCUCGCUACAUCGCUGCUGGUAGAAGCAUGGAAACAAAUCACCAGCUCCGCGCCAACAGCGAAUACCGCGGCGGCCAUGUCUGCGCCGCUCAUCUUGCUUCUCUCCCUGCGCCUUACGCGCGCGUAUCCGGCAGAGGUGGAAGCGGCGUUGUUCGACAGCGUCAUGGCGGCUCUGCUCGCCCCCAUGACAGCCGCGAACCGCUUUUGGUGGUCGCCGGAGUCGGCGUUAGGGGUGCUCACGGCUGUGCAGCAGCUGUGGACAGCGUUCCCGGGUAACAUGGCGGGCGCGUCCGCCGUUCGGCAUGGCACCGCGCUGGCACUCCUGCAGCAGAGCCACGCCGAAGCUCUACGAGGGCAGCGCGCCUCUUCGUCCAGGGUGGUGACGGCGGCACUUGAUGCCGUGCACAUCUACACGCUAAAGCAGCAGCGCGAAGGGGGGCAGGCGGCGUUGGCAGGCGCGCGUGAGCAACACGACUUGUGGCACGCAUUAUUGCAUCAGUGCCUCGACCACGUGACCUUCAUACCCCCUGAUGAAGCCAACGCGGCGUUUCGGGCUAACGUGCGGGUGCGAGGGCAGAGCGCAGCCCUCCGCCGACGCGUAAUGCUGGACGACGGUGUAUCAAGGCGUCUCGCUGUUCUCUGGAGGAUGGCGAUGGAGGGGCUCACAGAGGCUUCGCCACCCGCAGCGCGCGGCAACGUGUGGCUGCUAAACCCUGUAGACGUUGCGGUGCAAGUGGACGUUGCCAUUGCAGCAGCGACGCGGAGGGAGUGGGUGUCUGUUGCACAGUCCAUUUACACGCUGCCACUGUCGCCGCGCAGCACAUGGAAACCUCUCGAGGCCGGCGGGGCCGACUUAUCACUAAAGAUGUACCUUGACGGCAUCCGCGCAGUGCUGCAGGCGCGCCCGCCACAUGUGCAGGUGGGCAUCGCGAAGCGGGAAACGGACAUGUUCGCGGCCGUGGAGGAGGCGGGCGCAGCCGACACCGUGCGCGGCGGUGGCAGCGACAGCGAGGACACCAAGGAGUACGCGGAGGAGUACGGCGAAGAGGGCAUGGGUGGCAUCUUGAGUGAAGCCGGUGGGGCUGGCGGGGGUGGCGGCGCAGGCGAGGAUCGAGGGCCGAUGACAUUCGACCUCGGCGCCGGCGGCGGUCACUCCGCGGCUGCCUCUCUCACCUUCGAUGUCGCAGCCAAGGAGGCGGCCAUGUGGUUGCUUUACGGUGUGCUGCACUCGAUCAGUGCGUCGGGCAGCAGCACCACCACCACCGGCCGCGAAAACGAUGAUGAGGCGCGACGAGCGCUGCUGCCGGUUGUUGUGGCGGCGGCGCAGCUGGUGGAGGUGCACCCCGAAGUGCAGAUGUCCACUAUCGCCGUGCUGCAAGAGGUACUGGUGGCGUGGGGCAACGCAACGCAGCAGCAGGGCUACAGCCGCGAGACUCCGGUGCUCCUCCAGUGGAAGACGCAACUGGUUGUCGGACUUACGACAGUCCUUCAGCACGGUCUUCUGUCCCUCGAGGGGUGCACAUCGCUGGCGGUGCAGUACAGCCGAUGCAACAUGGCGGACCCAAGCUCGUGCCGCCGCGUGCUGCGCUCGCUGCUGCUGCUUCUACACGCCUGCCACAGGUUGCACGACAGAGGGCGCGGCUUUCUGCUGAUUGGUGGCAGCGGCGCAGGGCACGUUAUCGUCGCCCUGGCGAAGGUUGCUCAGGCGUCAGCGAUGCACCUGGAAGGCGGCGACGGUGGUGGUAGUGCCAGUGAUGAUGCGGCAGACGCGGCGGCAGCGGAGCAGUCGCAGAGGAACAUACUGCGCUCGUUGACGUCGGCACCGUGUCAAGCCGCCCUGACAUUGCUGUGCGAGCUCUUCGUGACGGCAGCGUCUCUGGCCAACGGCUACGUGCAGUCCGCCGACACCAUUGGUCUUGGCUGGAGUGGCGGCGGCGGUGGAAACGACGAUGGUACCUCGGUAACGUCCUCCGUGUACGCCUCAAGUACGUCGGUCAGCGCUGGUGACGUGCUGCAGGCGGUGGCGUUUCUCACGCAAGAGCCACUGAAGGCGGUGCUGGGGCCGGCACUUCGGUACGCGUCAGGCUGCCUGGCGGUUCUUGUGCUUUCAACCCUGGCGCUGUCCGCCACACCACCACCGCCACCACCCGACGGCAGCCCAUCCGCAAGCAUGGCGGCGCUAACAAGCAUGGUGACCCUCAGCGGUCAGCUGGCCGCAAACCACCAGCGCCUCCUCGCGCAGCUGGCGCAGGAGAGACUGUGCGCGCGCAUCGAAAAGCGCCUCUCAAAUUCGCAGCCGCUGCAGUCGGCGUGGGACACUGUCGACACGGGGCUGCUAAGGAUCGUGACGGUGGCGCCAGUGUCACGUGAUACUGCUGCGGCCCUGCUCGAGCGCAUCACUCCCGUUCUAUCGCAGCCCGCUGCCGGCGGCUGGAAGGCAGAGGUCGCUGUCUCUAUCCUCCUUGCGGGCAUGACCGCCUCGCUCGACCUGAAUCGGCUGCUUCCACUCCUGACUGUGCUGUCGGUAGAGUCGCUUCUCAGUGAUGUGCCGCAGGAGAUGCUGGCUCGGCUGCACCAAGCAGUCCGCUCAUACCUGCGUAAGGGAGGGCCGACGCGGGCUCGCGCGCUGGCACUGGCGUCUCCAGCUGGUCUGCUGCUGGCGGAGCACUGUGCUGCGUCAGACGACUCCUCUGUUGUGUGCCAUUCUCCACUCGCUCACCGCGCGACAUGGCCAGUGGUGCUGCGGCUGCUUUGGGAGGCGCGCGAUCCUCUUCACGUUUUUACCGUCAUGUGGAGCAGCACCCCGUUCCUGGCACAUGCAACCCUCUCCUGCUCCACCCCUCUCCGAGAGCAAGUGCCGCAGCAUAGGCUGCAGGCGGAGGUACUCCUGGCCAUUCUCGCCAGCCUCGGUGCCUCGUCAGCCUCUAACACAGGCGUUAACGAGGCCGUCGUACUCUUGCUGCUGCGUUGCGGCCGCCUAAUGAGUGAACUACUUGUGGGCAUCAUGGCCUCCGCUGAAGAACACGCUGCGGCCCCUGGCGCGGAUGCGCUGUACACCGUGCUUGCCUACGUUGUGGCGGUGCUCUGCACGCCUCUCGGUGCGGCGUUUGCAGUGGCGCUGAGGCCUGUAGGCCUGCACUUGAUGCACACGGUGGCGCCGUCGGCUGGCCCGGCGCUGCGCGAAGCCAUUCAACGUCUGGGGUCUACCAAGGCCAUGCAGCUGCGCUCCUUCAUGGAGGGAUCUUGCGCCUGAAGUGCCGAGCUACAGCUGUCCCACGCUUGCGGCCCAAGCGCGUUCUCCGCAAGAUGGUGCGGAUCGUGUCCGCGCGUCCAUCUGUGUGUGUGUCGGGGGAAGGGGGCCAGCACAUCUCCGCUUUCCUUCUGUGGCCAGAUCGUUGCCUCAGCGGCAGCGACAACACAUCGCAUGCGACUGGACGAGGGCGUGUCUGGUCACGAUGCUGAGCGUGUGUGCACGCAUUGAUGUCAUCAGUG
rnacentral:misc_RNA from 1 species